CCUCCCUCCUUCUAUCUGUGCAUUUUUAUUAUAAUGACUGUAUAUUCAACUGUCUGAAUAUUCAUUGAGCUGUACCAUCUGUUUCCAGUGAACACGUACCUGAAAUACACAUGAGUCACAGACGCAGAUGUGAAGACCUAUUACAGCAGGUGUUACCGGACCUCCACGUCAAGCUCCACCUGCGUCGUAGAUUAUAGUUAUCCGAGUCCUCAUAUCAAACGAGUUUCUACCAGCUGGGAAAAUGCGCAGUAGGUCCCGAAACGGUGCCGUAAAUUCUUCAAUAAAACUCCACACUAGGUAACACUCGCUCUCAGCUCACCAGCUUGAAGCUCACUGCUGAUUGGCUGACGCCAAAGUCACGUUGUAUUCCUGAACAUCUCUUGGAAAAUCGACUUGCCCUCCGUCUAUGUCGUUUUAAACCAUGCAAGCUAGAGAAUGUAAUUCUACAUGUUCACUUCCGGUCAUGCAUCCAUGAACGUUAUUUACAUACGUACAUGUCUGCUGUGUGUACCGACAGACGAUCAUGCAUGUGCUUGUAUACAUGGAUUUAUACCAAUACACUCGUACUAUUAAUAGCCAUAAGAUUCUCAUACAUUUCGAUAGAAGUAAAUAUUCAUGGACUUUGAAUACCGCCAAACAAAAUCCAGAAGCCAAACGCGUUGUGUUUCUGUACCAUCCAUAUUAAAUACCAGCCAGCAUGUAUUGCUGUGAAACAAUCACCUCUCCUCUACGGGGUCCAACAACCUGUUUGUUUUGAUCACAAAGUCAUGUGUUCAGUAAGACCAAUGGAAACCGAUGUUACAUGUUCAGCCAAUCAGCUCGACUCUCCCUUCUCGCUUGGGCGCAGAUAAAGCACCAAGUGGCCCCCAUGGCGGUGGGCGUGGCGCUGGCCCUCCUAUAAAGUCCUGCGCGCACAGUCUGCUGCAUCAAUACCAACCCGAGUCGAGCAGAUUCUGAGCGUUUCGUUGUAGAGAACCUUUUGGAGAAAAGCUAAACCACCGCCAUGUCUGACGCUUAUUUCGACGAGUA